rnacentral:rRNA from 1 species
AGCGAACGUUUGCGGCGGGCCUAACACAUGCAAGUCGAACGCACUAGCAAUAGUGAGUGGCGCACGGGUGCGUAACACGUGGGUAAUCAACCCUUCAGCCUGGGAUAACGACUCGAAAGGGUCGCUAAUACCGGAUACGGCGCGAGAGGCUUCGGCUUCUCACGAGAAAGCCACGCAAGGGGCACUGAAGGACGAGCCUGCGGCCCAUCAACUAGUUGGUGAGGUAAGAGCUCACCAAGGCUAAGACGGGUAGCUGGUCUGAGAGGAUGAUCAGCCACACUGGAACUGAGACACGGUCCAGACUCCUACGGGAGGCAGCAGUGGGGAAUAUUGCGCAAUGGGCGAAAGCCUGACGCAGCCACGCCGCGUGAGCGAUGAAGGCCUCGGUCGUAAGACUCUGUGGGAGGAGACGAAGAAAGACCUGUGAAGAGCAGGCCGUUGACGGUAGUCUCCUUAGUCAAGCACCGGC